rnacentral:rRNA from 1 species
GAGGUGGCAAGCGUUGUCCGGAAUUAUUGGGCGUAAAGCGCGCGCAGGCGGUUCUUUAAGUCUGAUGUGAAAGCCCACGGCUCAACCGUGGAGGGUCAUUGGAAACUGGAGAACUUGAGUACAGAAGAGGAAAGCGGAAUUCCACGUGUAGCGGUGAAAUGCGUAGAGAUGUGGAGGAACACGAGUGGCGAAGGCGGCUUUCUGGUCUGUAACUGACGCUGAGGCGCGAAAGCGUGGGGAGCAAACAGGGAUUAGAUACCCUGGUAGUCCACGCCGUAAACGAUGAGUGCUAAGUGUUAGGGGGGUUUCCGCCCCCUUAGUGCUGCAGCUAACGCAUUAAGCACUCCGCCUGGGGAGUACGGCCGCAAGGCUG